UACGAAGGGGGCUAGCGUUGUUCGGAAUUACUGGGCGUAAAGCGCACGUAGGCGGGUUGUUAAGUCAGGGGUGAAAUCCCGGAGCUCAACUCCGGAACUGCCUUUGAUACUGGCAAUCUAGAGACUGGAAGAGGUUAGUGGAAUUCCCAGUGUAGAGGUGAAAUUCGUAGAUAUUGGGAAGAACACCAGUGGCGAAGGCGGCUAACUGGUCCAGUACUGACGCUGAGGUGCGAAAGCGUGGGGAGCAAUCAGG
rnacentral:rRNA from 1 species